CCCUUUUCAGGCGCGUGACAUUGACGUCAUUUCCGGCUGCUGACGAGAGGCUCUUCCGCUCUCGGCAGCUUUCUACGCUGUCACCUGUCGCCUUAGCUGGCCUUCCUACCGCGCAUGCGCCACGCCCCAGUCUCUGUACUAGCACACAGCAGCAGCGGAGAAGGAGUUCGGAAGUUCAAAAUGGCCGCGGCGGCGAUGGUGGAGUCAGGACUGAGGGGUCGCGGGCUUGAAGAUGCUGAUAUUUCAGAGAGAAGUGCAAAUGAAGAAAAUGGUGAUAUUUCAGAAGUAGAACAACCUCAAAAUAAGCACAGCAGGCAUAAAAAAAAGAAACAUAAACAUAGAGGAAAGCAUAAGAAACACAAACAUUCUUCAGAAGAUGAUAAGGACAAAAAACAUAAACAUAGACACAAGCAUAAGAAACAUAAACGAAAGGAGGUUAUCGAUGCCUCUGAUAAAGAAGAUGGGCCAGCAAAAAGAACUAAAAUUGAUUUCUUAGCCCCUCUAGAAGACUUGGAAAAACAAAGAGCACUGCUAAAGGCUGAACUUGAAAAUGAGUUAAUGGAAGGAAAAGUUCACUCUGGAAUGGGAUUAAUAUUGCAGGGUUAUGAGUCAGGUUCUGAAGAAGAGGGAGAAAUCAAUGACAAGAUUAGAAAUGGGACUAGACCUACAACUAAAUCAUCAAACAUUAAGGGAAAACAGGAGAUUGCAGACAAUAAAACUAUUUCAAAGAAACGAAGUAGAAGUAAAUCAAAAGAACGGACUCGACACAGAUCUGAUAAAAAGAAAAGCAAGUCAGGAGUUGAUGCAGUCAAAGAGAAAACAACUAGAAGUAAAUCAAAAGAAAGAAAAAAAUCCAAAAGCCCCUCUAAAAAAUCCAAAUUACAAGACCAAGUAGGAAAGUCAAAAUCUCCAACCCUUAAAAGGCGCUCUCAAGAGAAAAAUAGGAAGUCCAGAUCUCCUCCCGAAGAUAAGACUAAAGGAGAGGAUAAGACUAAAUCAAGAGAUCGUAAAAAAUCUCCAAUUGUUAGUGAAAGUAAAAGUAGAGAUCGUGGCAAAAAAUCCAAAUCUCCAGUAGAACAAAGAAGCAAAUCCAAAGACAGACGGUCAAGGUCCAAAGAGCGAAAAUCCAGGAGACUGGAGACUGAUAAAGAAAAGAAACCUGCUAAGUCUCCUUCUAAAGAUGCUUCAUCAGGGAAAGAAAACAGGUCUCCUAGUCGAAGACCAGGCCGCAGCCCUAAAGGAAGAAGUUUGUCUCCAAAACUGCGUGAUAAGCUAAGACGCAGUAGAUCGCCUCUUGUUAAUGAUCGCCGGUCUAAGCAGAGUAAAUCACCAUCUCGAAACAGGUCUCCCGGUAGGAGAGCAAAAAGUAGGUCAGCAGAGAGAAAAAGAAGAGAAUCAGAAAGGAGGCGGUUUUCCUCACCAAGAACACGAACUAGAGAUGAUAUUCUCUCUAGACGUGAGAGAUCAAAAGAUGCCAGCCCACCUAGGUGGUCUCCAUCCAGAAGGAGAUCGAGAUCUCCCAUUCGGCGAAGAUCUCGUUCACCUCUUCGCCGUAGCCGGUCUCCAAGAAGGCGUAGUAGAUCUCCUCGGAGGAGAGAUAGAGGUCGACGAAGUAGAUCUCGUCUUAGGAGAAGAUCCAGGUCACGAGGUGGCCAUAGACGGAGGAGUAGGAGCAAAAUAGAAGAUAAAUUUAAAGGAAGUCUUUCUGAAGGAAUGAAAGUUGAGCAAGAAUCUUCAUCAGAUGAAAACCUUGAAGACUUUGAUGUUGAAGAAGAAGAUGAAGAAGCUCUUAUAGAACUGAGAAGGUUACAGAGGCAAGCAAUUGUGCAGAAAUACAAGUACUUAGCUGAAGACAGUAACAUGUCUGUGCCAUCUGAACCAAGCAGUCCUCAGAGCAGUACUCGCAGUCGCUCAAAUUCACCUGAUGACAUUCUGGAACGGGUGGCUGCAGAUGUUAAAGAGUAUGAACGGGAAAAUGUGGACACUUUUGAGGCCUCGGUGAAGGCCAAGCACAACCUCAUGACUGUUGAGCAAAAUAAUGGUUCAUCUCAGAAGAAAAUCACAGCACCUGACAUGUUCACAGAAUCUGAUGAUAUGUUUGCUGCAUACUUUGAUAGCGCACGCCUUAGGGCUGCUGGCAUUGGAAAAGACUUCAAAGAAAACCCUAAUCUCAGAGAUAACUGGACUGAUGCAGAAGGAUAUUACCGUGUUAAUAUUGGUGAAGUUCUAGAAAAACGUUACAAUGUAUAUGGUUACACUGGGCAAGGAGUUUUCAGUAAUGUGGUGAGGGCCAGAGAUAUGGCAAGAGCAAAUCAGGAAGUGGCUGUCAAAAUAAUCAGGAACAAUGAACUUAUGCAGAAAACUGGUCUAAAAGAAUUAGACUUCUUGAAAAAACUCAAUGAUGCAGACCCAGAUGACAAGUUUCAUUGUUUACGGUUGUUCAGGCAUUUUAUUCACAAGCAGCACCUCUGUCUGGUAUUUGAACCACUCAGUAUGAAUUUGCGAGAGGUUCUGAAGAAGUAUGGAAAGGAUGUUGGUCUCCAUAUAAAGGCUGUACGAUCAUACAGUCAGCAGCUAUUUCUGGCAUUAAAACUUCUGAAAAGAUGUAACAUCUUGCAUGCAGAUAUAAAACCAGAUAAUAUUUUGGUGAAUGAAUCUAAAACCAUUCUAAAGCUUUGUGACUUUGGAUCAGCCUCACAUGUAGCUGAUAAUGACAUCACUCCAUACCUUGUCAGUCGAUUUUAUCGUGCUCCUGAAAUUAUUAUAGGCAAAAUCUAUGACUACGGUAUAGAUAUGUGGUCUGUAGGCUGUACAUUGUAUGAACUUUACACAGGAAAAAUAUUGUUUCCUGGGAAAACAAAUAACCAUAUGUUGAAACUUGCCAUGGACCUCAAGGGAAAGAUGCCAAACAAGAUGAUCCGAAAAGGUGUGUUCAAAGAUCAACACUUCGAUCAAAAUCUCAACUUUAUGUAUAUAGAGGUAGAUAAAGUAACAGAAAGGGAAAAAGUAACUGUCAUGAGCACCAUUAAUCCAACAAAGGAUCUACUGGCAGAUUUAAUUGGGUGCCAGCGCCUUCCUGAAGACCAGCGUAAAAAGGUUCACCAGCUGAAGGACUUGUUGGACCAGAUCCUUAUGUUAGACCCAGCUAAACGGAUUAGUAUCAACCAGGCUCUGCAGCAUGCCUUCAUCCAGGAGAAAAUUUAAAUCCAGUGAAGAAGUUCAAAGGGUUUGAAUAGUUAUUAUACAAAGACUGAUGAAAUUUCACAGCAGUUUAUAAGUGUACAUAAAAUAUAUAAAUAAUUUCCCUGCAGAGUUGAGAAAGAAUGGUAUAUUUGAAUUAACACCGAGGCUGAUAUUUCUUUUAGAAAUGUUAGAGUAAAUCUUUGUCUCUAAUGUGAAGAUUUUUUUCACUGUAGAACUGUUUUAAUUGCCAAGACUGCACAGAAGUACAAUGCUAAUGUAUAUGGUUGCAGUUCCUAUAAACACACACAAACCCACAUUAUCUAAAACAGAAAAUCUGUUCAGCAAGAUCAGUAAGACCGGGUUGUUGAUUUUAGUUUUUAACAGAUUUGGCUUCAUUUUUGUCUCUGAAAAAUGGCCAGCAUAAAUGCUGUUUAUAUUACAUUUUCCUAGGUGUGUGCGUGCAGGCCACAGCAGCAUGCCCUUGGUGUAGUCAGUGCCGAAGGGGGUCUGUUCCUUCUUGAGCCUGCCCGCAGGGAUGGUCUCCUCUUUUAAAGCAGGUUGUGUACAACUUUCAGUACACUGAAGGUAAGCUAAACCAUCAACAUCACUGGUGUUUAAGUUACUGUACUGGGACAACUGACAAAUGAGGGUCAAUAGCUUUGUAGCAGAAUUCCCUGCAUGUUUGAUAAAUGAUCUUGUUUUUGUUUUCUGACAUUACAACUGUGGCAUAAUUUCCCACUUCUGUUUGGUCAUCACAUUUAAAAAAAUUGGGGGAGUGUGCACUUGAUGGAGAGAGCGCCUUCAGUGUACUGUUUAUUACCUUCAUUUUUAAAAAAUCAACUUGCUGUAUAUAUAGACUUUAUAUACAUUUUGUUAAAUACAGUUCACUAUGGCAUAGACCCAGAGCUUAGAGAACAGUUUUCAUUUCCUAACAACAAACAUUGAACUCUGAUUUUGAAAGUCCUGAUCUCACGGCCAGAUAGAAAACACCAUAAUAAACUUUUUAGCUAUUUGUAUGUCAUUUGAAAAUGUACUGCUUUAUGCUAAAGGUGUUUUUAAUUUGUUCAUUGUUUUCAUUAUUUGUGAUCAUGUUGUCUUUCAAUACAGGCAUAAACCUUCCACUCUUGAACAAAGCAGCUGCUUUUUAAAAGCGACAAAGGAAGGCAAGUCACAGGCCACUCAACGCCUACUCCAGUGGGUCUGGUUUGCUGAGACACCAACUUCACCUUCCUAACAAGGUGCCGUUCAAAUGAAGAUGAUGGCAAACCAGAAGACAUGAACAAAGGGUAAGUGGCAGAAAACCUGUGAGAAACAUUUGCAUGGAUUGACUUGUGCUCAAGAGGCAGAUCAGUCUAUGAAAAUAUGAAAAUGAAAAUGCUGGUAUCUUUGACGAGCUGUAAUGGAGACUGGUGUAUCAAAAUGUUAAAGUGGUAGUUUACUUCAAGAUAAUAAAAUAGCUUUGAAAAU